rnacentral:rRNA from 1 species
CAGCCCUAAACGAUGCGCGUUAGGUGUAUCGGUGACCACGAGUCACCGAGGUGCCGAAGGGAAACCGUGAAACGUGCCGCCUGGGAAGUACGGUCGCAAGGCUGAAACUUAAAGGAAUUGGCGGGGGGAGCACCGACAACGGGUGGAGCCUGCGGUUUAAUUGGACUCAACGCCGGGAAGCUCACCGGAUAAGACAGCGGAAUGAUUGCCGGGCUGAAGACCCUGCAUGACCAGCUGAGAGGAGGUGCAUGGCGUAGACGUCU